UACGAAGGGGGCUAGCGUUGCUCGGAAUGACUGGGCGUAAAGGGCGCGUAGGCGGCUUGCACCGUCAGAUGUGAAAUUCCUGGGCUUAACCUGGGGGCUGCAUUUGAUACGUGUGGGCUUGAGUGCGGAAGAGGGUCGUGGAAUUCCCAGUGUAGAGGUGAAAUUCGUAGAUAUUGGGAAGAACACCGGUGGCGAAGGCGGCUCACUGGCCCGUAACUGACGCUCAUGCACGACAGCGUGGGGGAUCAAACAGG
rnacentral:rRNA from 1 species